AGGUUUUUCCUCCAACCUUUUCAAAAACCUUUUCAAUUUUUUUUUUCAUUUCCCCCACACUCUCUCUGCUUGUCGUUCUCUCUCUCUUUUUUCUCUCACCCGCUUUUUCUCUUCCUUCUUCAAACCCUAAAUCGGUCCUUUCUCCCUCAUCUCUGCCUUCCCUUCUCCGAUUCAAACCCUAAAUGUCCCGACAUCGAAAUUCCUCUUCCCAUACUUUAUGUAAGAAACACGUUUAAGGCAGAGAGUUCUGAUGAAAAACCAUCUGGAGAUGAACUCAAGGCGAACUCAAAGUGUGGGAUGCCGAGUUUGUUAAGAUCCAUGCUUUUGCUAUAGGUAAUGUUGUUUCAGAAAAUGGUGAGUUUCUUACUUUCACAAGGUCUUAGAUGUCUCAGUAGAAAGUUUGAUGCAGUAAACACCGUCACGGGUUGAUGAAGAAUCACAUCAGUUUUCUUAUCUGCAAAAGCAUUUUAUUAACAUUUAGCCUCUUUUUACUAGGUACUUGAUGAAGCAGAUCAGGUGAUUACCAUGGGUUUUGAGCGAAUAGUCCUCUAUUUUUGGUCAGCUUCAGGUUUGUAUGGUUCGAUAUAGGUUGAUAUGGUUCAGCAAGCAAGUCUGUGGUACGGUGAUCAAUGUUUCAUCAUGCUAUGUCGAAGGCAGCUCGUGCAGCAAGGUUUUUUGUGUGUUUAUGCUGAGUUGUAUUGGUUUUCUGAUGCAUCGGUUGUGAAUGCUUCUAAGACUGCAUAUGUGAAUGUCAAUUGGAGCUAUGCAGAGCUGUUUGUUGCCAGCUAUAUAUGUUCACUUCAUAUAUAACUGAAAUCUACAUGUUUGGCAAAGCCAUUGUUUUUUAUGAUGCUGUAGCAGGGGCUGCAAGAUAUGGUUUUACUGCUGUAGACAGGCCAUAAGGGUUCUUGGUUUUGGCUAUUGCUUCACUGGGAAAUGAGAUUACUGAGAUGAAAAUUCCCCCUGAGGUAUUUUGUUCUAACCGCAAGUGAUUUGGAGGAGUGGUACCAUAACCCUGAGUCUUUUCACCACAAGCAGGAUAUGAUCCAGUCGACAAAAAAAUUGAGGCCUUGUGCUGAAGCUCUGUACACUGUAUUGUUUGAAAAUAAUAGCCAAUUGCUAGCUCCUGUUGUGGUUUCUCUUCUUCAAGAGAUCAUGAACAAUUUCCCGACUUCAGUGAUAGAAAUUACUUCUGCAUUGCUUCUUAAAGAUGCUGCUUAUGGUGCUGCCGCCUAUGUUUAUUAUGAACUCUCAAACUAUCUGAGCUUUAAAAAAUGGUCCAAUGGAGCUUUAUCACAUUAACUCUCUAAUCAUCAUCUUCAAUUGUUAGAAGCCUUUUCAUUGAGGCAUUGAGGCAUGACAGAACAAACUCAUCUACAUGGUACAAUCUUGGACUUGUGUACAAAGAUGAUUUGGGAACAUCAUCAUUGGAAGCUGCUGAAUGCUUUGAGGCAGUAGUUUUUCUUGAAGAAUCUUGUCCCAUUGAACUCUUUAGAUAACACUUUCACUUAUUUUCUUUUUGUGGUGUGCUUGUAAAGUUGGUUUAUUAAAUAUAUUUUUUAUAUAAAAAUGAAAUAGCAAAAGCUGAAUGAACGGUAAUUGCUAAGUGUUGUUUAUUGUAAGGACUUAUAGAAACCGUUGGUGGAAAGCCAAGGAGAUUGAUAGAAAUGCCUUUAAAGGUAUUGUUAGUGUUAGAUGUGAAUUAUUAGGAAAAGAAAAGAUCUCAUCAUGGAGCCAACUGAUAUGUUUGGUGUCUUAGCCAAGAAAAAGAGAAGAUUGUAGUCUAUGGUUUUUGAUUAUUUAUUUAUUCUAUGCUAGCUACUUGCAAAUUAAAUAAAGAAUUGUGUAAAGGUUCUUCUUGAAGGAAAUGAGAUACCAAUUUAUAAUGUUGAAGUUAAAAAGAUACUCCUACUGGUAGCAAAUUAACCAGAUUAAACUUUAGACAUGUAUUAGAGACAAUGCAUAUGUAAUUUUCUUAUAUUAAACAUGCCAAAUGGGUCAUGUAAUUUAAAUUUUAUUAUAGUUUGGUUAUUUCAUACUCAUGUGUUGGUGAUAUAGUUUUAGUAGUGGAGUGAGUUUGACGAAAGAGUUGAAGCGGAGAAUAGAGAGAGAAACAUCGUUGUUUUGUUUUUUUAAUUAGGAUAUCUUAGUAAUAAUGCAAGUAACAGGUGAAAUGAGCAACGAGUUUGUGUUUCUUUUGUUGGGACUUGGAACAAAGAAUAAUAAAGUGAGAAGCAUAGAGAGGACAAGAAUGCGACUUUUCAGGAUUAGAUUCUCCCAGAGCUAAACAAAAAUAUCUUGGAUAAGCUUUACUUGAUCUAUGAGCGAACUCAGAGGUUAGUCUUAAAGUUGUUGCUAGCAUGAGGACACUUCCUAUGUAGAAAGAGAUGGUCCCGUAUCAAAAGAAUGUGACUCAGAUUUAAGGUGGCUAUGUUUAGACACGUGUUAGGAUCUUGUAGCUCACCAACUACCAUUGACGUGAAGUUGCACUUGAAUACUCUCUUGAUAACAAUUUACAAUGGGGUGGAUAAAUUUGAUAAAAUGAAACACACCAAUCCAAUGUCUUUUUUGUGCAAAUAGAUUUAGGCGGGUUGAAUGUCGAGUUGAUUCAUAUAUUUAAUUUGAAUAAUAUAGGAUUAUUCGGAUUGGUUUUAAAAAAUUAUUUUGUAUAAAUCAAAAAUCGAGUUAGACCAAGA